rnacentral:rRNA from 1 species
GGGGAGCAAACAGGAUUAGAUACCCUGGUAGUCCACGCCGUAAACGAUGUCAAACUAGCCGUUGGAAUCCUUGAGAUUUUUAGUGGCGCAGCUAACGCAUUAAGUUGACCGCCUGGGGAGUACGGCCGCAAGGUUAAAACUCAAAUGAAUUGACGGGGGCCCGCACAAGCGGUGGAGCAUGUGGUUUAAUUUGAAGCAACGCGAAGAACCUUACCAGGCCUUGACAUGCAGAGAACUUUCCAGAGAUGGAUUGGUGCCUUCGGGAACUUUGACACAGGUGUUGCAUGGCUGUCGUCAGCUCGUGUCGUGAGAUGUUGGGUUAAGUCCCGUAACGAGCGCAACCCUUGU